GAUGAACGCUGGCGGCGUGCCUAAUACAUGCAAGUCGAGCGAACAGAUGAGGAGCUUGCUCCUCUGACGUUAGCGGCGGACGGGUGAGUAACACGUGGAUAACCUACCUAUAAGACUGGGAUAACUUCGGGAAACCGGAGCUAAUACCGGAUAAUAUAUUGAACCGCAUGGUUCAAUAGUGAAAGACGGUUUUGCUGUCGCUUGUAGAUGGAUGCGCGCCGCAUUAGCUAGUUGGUAAGGUAACGGCUUACCAAGGCAACGAUGGGUAGCCGGCCGGAGAGGGUGACCGGCAACAGUGGGAAUGAGAAACGGCCAAGAGUGCGAAGGGAGGGAGCAGUGGGGAAUAUUGCACAAUGGGCGAAAGCAUGAUGCAGAGACGUAGGGUGAGGGAUGACGGCCUCCGGGUUGUAAACCUAUUUCAGCAGGGAAGAAGCGAAAGUGACGGUACCUGAAGAAGAAGCACCGGCUAACUACGUG
rnacentral:rRNA from 1 species